rnacentral:SRP_RNA from 1 species
GCCGGGUGUUGUGGUGGGCACCUGUAGUCCCAGCUACUUGGGAGGCUGAGGCAAGUGACUCGCUUGAGCCCAGGAGUUGGAGGUUGCUGUGAGUUGUGAUGCCACAGCACUCUACCAGGGGGACAGCUUGAAGCUCUAUCUCAAAAAAAAAAAGAGUAAGGAUGUUAAGAGACAUCUUACUACAACUGUCCUCUUGUACUAUAUACAGUAAUUUUUUAUUUUUUACUUUUUGAGAUAGUCUCACUACGUUACCCUUGGUAGAGUGCUGUGGGUGUCACAGCUCACAACAACCUCAAACUCUUGGGCUCAAGCGAUUCUCUUGCCUCCC